GAAAUGGCAGAGGCCAAAGAUGCAGUACUGGAUGAGCCCCUAAUUUGGAGUCGGGAGAAGAUGGACCCAAGGAAGGCACCAGAAGAAGUUCCAGUCACAUUCUAUGACAAAGUACCAAAAGAAACCCAGGCCAUCAUGUUAUCAGAAUGUUUGAAGAAAAGGAAUGUGGGGUAAUGGUAGAGGGGUAAAAAACAAGAAAAGUUUCUGAUGCAGGCUACAUGUCUGUGGUGUCGGGACUCUGCUCCACAUUAUCCUCGCUCUGGGACUUGAACUGAUGGAGGCACCAUCGUGGGAAACCAUAGCCAGAUGUGAUGGCAAACAAGGGGAGAAUCACACACUGGCUCUCAGAUGCUUCUGCCUGGAAGUAGCUUGUUCUGAAAAUUAGAAUGUUUUCAAAUCAAGACAUUUGCAAGACUAAAAAUUUUGCUCCUCAGUUCUUGGUGUUCCUCCCAAAGCAACACAGGAUAAUCCCGAAAAUACCUGAAGACAGCUAUCAUUUCUUCAGACACUCCCUUAUCUUAAGAAUGUACGAUUGAUUGCUUGUAAAUGUCUUUAAAACGUAGUACCUAGAAAUGAGGGCAAUACUUCAAAUGUGCUCUGGCUAGAAAUGUCUGUUUUGAAAUCUGACUCCCUUUGAUAUGAAAUCUACAUCUGUUAAUUGAACAAAGACUGCUGUGUUUUUAAAAAGCUAUAUCCUGAUUGGUUAACACUGAGCUUAAAGUCAACUACUAAUUUUUUCACAUGAAUUGUUAACAAUCCCUGCCUUCUUCAUUCCAACAUCAUUCACUCCACGCCACUGAUUUUUUAAAAAUUUUUUGCUUUUCUUCUUUUUAGCUAGACCUCCAAAUGUAUCAGAUCCUUCUACAGUUUCCUCUUUUUGGAUCAUCCCAACCUGCUUAGAUAAUUCUGAAUCUAACUCUGAAAUGCUACAGUUUGGCCUGUUCCUUCCUAUUUUAAGACUCCAUUAAUUCAACAAGCAUACCUCCUGUAAUAAGACACUGUCCUGUGGAUAUUCCUUGUGCUUGGGUGUUUACUAAUGACCCAACCAGCUCCAAGUUCACCUCACUAUACAAGUGUCUGGCCUACAUGUCUAAAUAUCAUCUACAGGA